AUACAGAGGGUGCAAGCGUUACUCGGAAUCACUGGGCGUAAAGCGCGCGCAGGCGGCUUGAUAAGUUGGAUGUGAAAGCCUACGGCUCAACCGUAGAACUGCAUCCAAAACUGUCAAGCUAGAGUCCGCGAGGGGAAGAUGGAAUUAGUUGUGUAGGGGUAAAAUCCGUAGAGAUAACUAGGAAUACCAAAAGCGAAGGCGAUCUUCUGGAACAGUACUGACGCUGAGGCGCGAAAGCGUGGGGAGCAAACAGGAUUAGAAACCCCAGUAGUCC
rnacentral:rRNA from 1 species